rnacentral:rRNA from 1 species
GUGGGGAAUAUUGCACAAUGGGCGCAAGCCUGAUGCAGCGACGCCGCGUGAGGGAUGAAGGCCUUCGGGUUGUAAACCUCUUUCGUCAGGGAAGAAGCGAAAGUGACGGUACCUGAAGAAGAAGCACCGGCUAACUACGUGCCAGCAGCCGCGGUAAUACGUAGGGUGCGAGCGUUGUCCGGAAUUAUUGGGCGUAAAGAGCUUGUAGGCGGUUUGUCGCGUCUGCCGUGAAAACCUAGGGCUUAACUCUGGGCGUGCGGUGGGUACGGGCAGGCUAGAGUGUGGUAGGGGAGACUGGAAUUCCUGGUGUAGCGGUGAAAUGCGCAGAUAUCAGGAGGAACACCGAUGGCGAAGGCAGGUCUCUGGGCCAUAACUGACGCUGAGAAGCGAAAGCAUGGGGAGCGAACAGGAUUAGAAACCCCUGUAGUCC